GAAUGCGUAGCACACCUAGCUGGUAUACAGGUGCCCUGGCCGGGGAGGAACAGGCGGCAAAAGACGGACUUUAAGUCACUUUAGUAACCUCUUUUCAUGACCAGCAGCCAACGAGGUCCUGUCAUUAUGACAGCGGAGAGACAUCUGUCAUGAAAACAGGAACCCAUUUAGAUGGCAAUGAAUGCCCCACCCCUCUGGCUCCAAGCACUUCAGUUUCCUCAUUGUUUCCAAGGAUGGCACAUCUUGGAUUCUGCGGUGGCCAUGCUGCUCCCCUCACCCUGGAGAUACGGUUGGAUAGGACACUAUAAUCCCUUGCUAACAACCAGCUCCCCUCUGUGUGCUGAAGUGGCUGAGACAGAAGCCUGUGGGUCAGGAGUGAGAGGCUGCUCGGGACAUUUUGAUGUUUUCAUUUGUAUCAGUAUUACAGCGGCUGAUUUGGUCUGUAGUCAGGAGAAAUGCCUUUGAGGGCUUGUUCUGACAUUUGGCUUUAAUAACGGGACAAAUUAUGGCCUCAAGUAUCAGACACAUGGCUGGCAGGGCCUUUCUGAGGGGCCAUCUGUUCUGAGCUCGUGAGCGUCAUCUAGAAUUUUCAGUUUUUUAAGUUGCCAAAUGCAUUUUUGACCUGGUUCAAGUGAUCACUAUAUUUUACCAAACAGAAACAAAUAAGCCAAGGUGAACAUAACUUUCAUGUAGGGCCGUUGCUAGGAUUUUAGAAAUACAGACCUGACCUGACCUGAUCAUUUUGAGAUUUUUUUGACAUAGCAAAUUUUCACAUUUUAUUUUUAAUUUAAUUGUUCAGUUAUAUAUUUAGUCUAUUUUUUUUUUUUAGUAUAACCCACAGAUGAUGAUCUAAAUGCUGUUCAAAGCCUCCCUCAGGAAUAAAAUCUGGUGCAGAAAUCCUACAUUCCUUUAAUUUUUUAUUUUUAAUAUUGAUUACUAUUUUGUAUAAAAAUUUAAAUAUAUUGUCUCUAUUUUACAAGAACACAAAAGUCCAAAGAUUCUACAUUGAGACUUCAAAUGGACAACAACAACAAAAAAAAUCUAUAUAAUAAAAAUCUGUUUUCCUGUUAACCUCUAAGAGCCGUCAACAUGUUCUAUACAUCAGUAAACAAUACUCCU